GGAGUUAUAGCUUAGUGGUAGAGCACAUGCAUGAGGUCCUGGGUUCAAUCUGCAAGUACCUCCA
rnacentral:tRNA from 1 species